rnacentral:tRNA from 1 species
GUUUCCGUGGUGCAGCGGUAAUCACGUGCGCCUCACACGCGCAAGGUCUCCGGUUCGAUCCCGGCGGAAACA